rnacentral:rRNA from 1 species
CCUACGGGCGGCAGCAGUGAGGAAUAUUGGUCAAUGGGCGCGAGCCUGAACCAGCCAAGUAGCGUGAAGGAUGACUGCCCUACGGGUUGUAAACUUCUUUUAUAAAGGAAUAAAGUGAGGCACGUGUGCCUUUUUGGAUGUACUUUAUGAAUAAGGAUCGGCUAACUCCGUGCCAGCAGCCGCGGUAAGACGGAGGAUCCGAGCGUUAUCCGGAUUUAUUGGGUUUAAAGGGAGCGUAGAGGGGUUGUUAAGUCAGUUGUGAAAGUUUGCGGCUCAACCGUAAAAUUGCAAUUGAUACUGGCAGCCUUGAGUCCAGUUGCGUUAGGCGGAAUUCGUUUUGUAGCGG